rnacentral:rRNA from 1 species
AUUGAACGCUGGCGGCAUGCCUUACACAUGCAAGUCGAACGGCAGCACGGGGGCAACCCUGGUGGCGAGUGGCGAACGGGUGAGUAAUACAUCGGAACGUGUCCUGUAGUGGGGGAUAGCCCGGCGAAAGCCGGAUUAAUACCGCAUACGAUCUACGGAAGAGAGCGGGGGAUCCUUUGGGACCUCGCGCUAUAGGGGCGGCCGAUGGCAGAUUAGCUAGUUGGUGGGGUAAAGGCCUACCAAGGCGACGAUCUGUAGCUGGUCUGAGAGGACGACCAGCCACACUGGGACUGAGACACGGCCCAGACUCCUACGGGAGGCAGCAGUGGGGAAUUUUGGACAAUGGGGGAAACCCUGAUCCAGCAAUGCCGCGUGUGUGAAGAAGGCCUUCGGGUUGUAAAGCACUUUUGUCCGGAAAGAAAACCUUUGGGCUAAUACCCUGAGGGGAUGACG